AUUGAACGCUAGCGGCAGGCCUAACACCUGCAAGUCGAACGAGUGGCGGACGGGUGAGUAAUGUAUGGGCAACGGCCUGAUGGAGGGGGAUAACUACUGGAAAAGGUAGCUAAUACCGAAUACCAUCGGUUGUGACCAGAUGGGAUUAGCUAGUAGGUGGGGAAAAGGCGCACCAAGGCGACGAUCCCUAGCUGGUCUGAGAGGCUGACCAGCCACACUGGAACUGAGACACGGUCCAGACUUCUACGUGAGGCAGCAUUGGGGAAUAUUGCACAAUUGGAGAAAGCCUGAUGCAGCAAUGCCGCGUGUAUGAAGAAGGCCUUCGGGUUGUAAAGUACUUUCAUCAGAGAUGCGGUACCUGCAGAAUAAGCACCGGCUAACUCCGUGCCAGCCGCCGCGGUAAUUC
rnacentral:rRNA from 1 species